GGAAGCAAUCAUACCAACUCACCGGAUCCCAUUAAAACUAUGAAGUUAAGCGACUUUGAGCGACAAUUGUACAAAGAUGGGCGACCUGGGAAACUGGGGUUUGCAUUCCC
rnacentral:rRNA from 1 species